CAAAAACAUAGCCCUUGAUCUUAUCAAAGGUGUAACCUGCCCAAUGAUCUUAAAGUAAAUAAAAAUAAUCUUUUAUAAAAAGAUUAAAAGGACGCAGUAACCUGACUGUGGUAAUGUAGCAUAAUCAUUCGCCAUUUAAUUGAUGGAUAGUAUGAAUGGUUGAACGAAUUCUUCCCUGUCUUAAAAAGAGAAAUCAUGAAAUUAAAAUAAUAGUUAAGAUGCUAUUUAAAAUUGUAAGACGAAAAGACCCUAUAGAGCUUAACUAUAAACUUUUUUUAAAAAAAGAAUUUCCAAUUCAGGAAAUAAAAAGUUUGGUAGUUUAGUUGGGGCGACUAUCUUCUAAAAAUAACGAAGACAAGCAAUGUUAAUAAAAAACUUAUUGUAUAACCAAUAAAUUUAACAAUUACAAAAGUAGGCUAUAAUGACCCGUUAACUGAAAAUAACACUAAUAACGAUCAAUAAAUAAAAGCUACCUUAGGGAUAACAGGAUAAUUUUGUUUUAGAGAUCCUAUCGAAGACAAAGUUUGUCACCUCUAUGUUGAAUUAAGAUAUCCUGAUAAUGCAGAAGUUAUCAAAGGUAGGUCUGUUCGACCUUUAAAAUCUU
rnacentral:rRNA from 1 species